UCCAGGGUAGCCUAGUGGACAUGGCAUCUGCCCGGUAAGCGGAACGUUGUGGGUUCGAUUCCCAUCUCUGGAC
rnacentral:tRNA from 1 species